rnacentral:rRNA from 1 species
UACGAGUGCCUCGAGCGUUAUCCGGAAUCAUUGGGCGUAAAGGGUGUGUAGGCGCCUUGUUAGUCUCGCGUAAAAUCCUUCGGCUCAACCGAGGGCUCGCGCGGGAAACGGCAGGGCUAAGAGGAUGGUAGGGGUCUCUGGAACUCUAGGUGUAGCGGUGAAAUGCGUUGAUAUCGGGGAGGAACACCUGUGGCGAAAGGCGGCUCACUGGACCAUAACUGACGCUGAUGCACGAAAGCUGGGGGGAGCAAACAGG